CAAAAGGUAUUCCCCUAGUAGCGGCGAGUGAAGCGGGAAGAGCUCAAAUUUGUAAUCUGGCGUCUUUCAGGCGUCCGAGUUGUAAUCUAUAGAAGUGUUUUCCGUGCUGGACCAUGUCCAAGUCCCUUGGAACAGGGUAUCAAAGAGGGUGACAAUCCCGUACUUGACAUGACCACCAGUGCUCUGUGAUACACUUUCUACGAGUCGAGUUGUUUGGGAAUGCAGCUCAAAAUGGGUGGUAAAUUCCAUCUAAAGCUAAAUAUUGGCGAGAGACCGAUAGCGAACAAGUACCGUGAGGGAAAGAUGAAAAGCACUUUGGAAAGAGAGUUAAACAGUACGUGAAAUUGUUGAAAGGGAAACGAUUGAAGUCAGUCGUGUUCAUUGGACUCAGCCGGUUUUCGGUGUAUUUCCUUUGAACGGGUCAACAUCAGUUUUGUCCGGUGGAUAAAGGCAGGAAGAAAGUGGCUCCCUCGGGAGUGUUAUAGCUUUCUGUCACAUACACUGGAGGAGACUGAGGACUGCAGCUCGCCUUUUGGCCGGGGUUCGCCCACGUUCGAGCUUAGGAUGUUGACAUAAUGGCUUUAAACGACCCGUCUUGAACCACGGACCA
rnacentral:rRNA from 1 species